AGUACAGUGGCAAGAUCUCGACUCACUGCAACCUCUGCCUGCCGGGUUCAAGCAAUUCUCCUGGCUCAGCCUCCCAAGUAGCUGGGAUUACAGUGUACCACACCAAGGAACUCCCACACUCUGAAUGAACAGCCCAGUGAUCAGGAGCUUUGAAUCAAUUCUUGGCACCUAACAGUUUGUGAAGAGUCUGCUAAACUCCCUCUAUCAGAAAUCCCAGAGGACUGAGAACAGGUCAUCCUUGGAGCUGUAUCUGAAUGGAGUCAGGAUCUGGAAGCCCAAGUCUCCUUGUCAAUGUCUGCUUGGUUCCCAAGGACACCUGUAAAUGGAAGAGGGGCAUAGUACACAGAAGACAUUGCUGGCAAGUGUGGUCUCUUUACGAUCAGAAACUAUUCUUAAGACCGGACGCGGUGGCUCAUGCCUGUAAUCCCAGCACUUUGGGAGGGCCGACAUGGGUGAAUCACCUGAGGUCAGGAGUUCAAGAGCAGCCUGGGCAACAUGGUGAAACCCGUCUCUACUAAAAAUACAAAAUAUUAGCUGGGCGUGGUGGUGUGCACCUGUAAUCCCAGCUACUCAGGAGGCUGAGACAGGAGAAUCACUUGAACCUGGGAGGUGGAGGUUGCCGUGAGCCGAGAUCGUGCCAUUGCACUCCAGCCUGGGCAACAAGAGCAUAACUCCGUCUCAAAAUAAAUAAAUUAAUCAAAUAAAAACUAUUCUUUAACAGUA